GGUGCGUGAGAGUGGCUGGAACCUGGCAAAUAGAAGACGAGGGACGCGGGAGGACAGCCCGGUGCCGGCCCUGGUCUGGGCCGCCAAGCAGCCAUGCCGACCUGGGGGGCCGGCUCCCCGUCCCCGGACCGCUUUGCAGUGUCUGCGGAGGCGGAGGACAAAGUGUGGGAGCAGCAACCCCACGUGGAGCGCAUCUUCCGCGUGAGGAUGAGCGUCCUCCGGAAGGACUGCCCCGAGAACCCUCACAUCUGGCUGCAGCUGGAGGGCCCCAAGGAGAACGUCAGCAGAG